UCCCUGGUGGUCUGGUGGUUAAGACUUUGCACUUCUACUGCAAAGGCACAGGUUCGAUCCCUGGUCGGGGAA